rnacentral:rRNA from 1 species
GCCAGCGCCAUAUCUCCUUGCAGCUCUCGCAUGGUUUCCCACUGAAGCUAAGUAGGGUUGAGCCUGGUCAAUGUGUGGAUGGGAGAGCUCCUGGGGGAAAAUUAAGGCUGCUGCUGGAA